rfam:Sorghum bicolor cultivar BTx623 chromosome 9, whole genome shotgun sequence.
GUAGUCGAAUUCACAUCAAUCUAUAUGUAUUGGAGUGAGUUGAAGUGGAACUUAAAUUCCACCUCAAUCCACUCCAAUACAUAUGGAUUGAAAUGAAUCUGACA